CGGACAACAAAGGGCGGAGGGGGUCCCCCACGUGCGGGCCCUGCACCUCUCCAACCCGCCGCCAUGCGCGCUUACCUCGGCACAGGUGAAUCCCAAGACGGAACCGAGCAGAAAGGCUCAGCGCUCUGGCCUCAUCCGUCCCGCAUGAAAAUUACAGGCGACUGUUCGUGGGGAUGCAGGAGCAGGAACACAGAAGCCGUGCCAAGCUCUCUCUGCUCCCAGGAUGUUGCCCUGUAGCUCUGAACUUAAGCGACUGUAUUUUUGGAUUUCUUUGCUACAGUAUCUUAGCCAGUAUCCUGACUAACACGAGGGAUGCUUCUGUAACAAUCAGGAAACUGACAUAGGUGGCGUUGAUUCACGAGCUGGAAGGUGGGCCGUCCGGGAAUCAGGAGGUGCCUUGUGACGCUGUGGCAAAAAAUGUAUCAAAUAUCCAAAUACUCAGUUUAUACAAUAUCAAAUAAAUUGUCAAAAUUUCAUCUGAAGUAACUUGAAAGACUGAGAAGUUUGCUCUUGGAAAACUCAGAACUUUGCUAGGUGUUCGCUGUUCCUGUUUCGGGUAAUGUAAUAAAGGAGGGAGAUGUGUUCAGGUUGAAAUCAGGCAAUGUUCAAGCAGAGAUAAAGGAAAUAGAGCUCUCUUCACUGAGAUUUCUUUGUCCAUAGCCAGCAGCCUAAACUGAUGGAGAUACAGAAUCGGGGGACAGUGCAAAAACCACGCCUCCAAUUAUGUGUCGGAUUCUGCUCGAAGCUGUGCAGAUAUACACUUAACCUUACAAUUACUCUUCUUUUCCAUUUCCUCCACCUUGACGAUCAGAAUAGUGAUGUUUUAUUACAGAAACAUUAUUAAGUUUAAUAACGUGCAAAACCCUGCAUUGUCCUUGGAACAGGUAGAAUCUUAAAAAAAAACAAAAACAAAAACAAAAGCUAAUUUCCUUUGUCCCCUGGGUUGGACUCCAGCCUGUGCCUUGCUUUUGUCAU
rnacentral:lncRNA from 1 species